rnacentral:rRNA from 1 species
GACGAACGCUGGCGGCGUGCUUAACACAUGCAAGUCGAACGGGCCCGCCCCUGUUUUUGGGGGUGGGUUGAGUGGCGAACGGGUGAGUAUCACGUGAGUAACCUGCCCCCUGCUCCUGGAUAACUGCUUGAAAGGGCGGCUAAUACGGGGUGUGCCGGCUGGUCCGCAUGGGCCUGGUCGGGAUAGUUUCAUCUUCGGGUGUUUCGGUGGGGGAUGGGCUCGCGGCCUAUCAGCUUGUUGGUGGGGUGAUGGCCCACCAAGGCGGUGACGGGUAGCCGGCCUGAGAGGGUGGGCGGCCACACUGGGACUGAGACACGGCCCAGACUCCUGCGGGAGGCAGCAGUGGGGGGUAUUGCACAAUGGGCGGAAGCCUGAUGCAGCGACGUCGCGUGAGGGAUGGAGGCCGUCGGGUGGGGAACCUCUUUCUCCGGUGGGGAAGGCCCUGUCCGUUGCGGCGGGGUUGACGGUAGCCGGGUAUGAAGCGCCGGCUAACUACGUG